ACGAACGCUGGCGGCGUGCUUAACACAUGCCAGUCGCACGGAAAGGCCCUGCUUUUGUGGGGUGCUCGAGUGGCGAACGGGUGAGUAACACGUGAGUAACCUGCCCUUGACUUUGGGAUAACUUCAGGAAACUGGGGCUAAUACCGGAUAGGAGCUCCUGCUGCAUGGUGGGGGUUGGAAAGUUUCGGCGGUUGGGGAUGGACUCGCGGCUUAUCAGCUUGUUGGUGGGGGAGUGGCUUACCAAGGCUUUGACGGGUAGCCGGCCUGAGAGGGUGACCGGCCACAUUGGGACUGAGAUACGGCCCAGACUCCUACGGGAGGCAGCAGUGGGGAAUAUUGCACAAUGGGCGGAAGCCUGAUGCAGCAACGCCGCGUGCGGGAUGACGGCCUUCGGGUUGUAAACCGCUUUCGCCUGUGACGAAGCGUGAGUGACGGUAAUGGGUAAAGAAGCACCGGCUAACUACGUG
rnacentral:rRNA from 1 species